GACUCCUCCUAGGGGAACCUGCGGAGGGAUCAUUA
rnacentral:rRNA from 1 species